rnacentral:rRNA from 1 species
GUAGGGAAUCUUCCACAAUGGGCGAAAGCCUGAUGGAGCAAUGCCGCGUGAGUGAAGAAGGUUUUCGGAUCGUAAAACUCUGUUGUUGAAGAAGAACAUGCGUGAGAGUAACUGUUCACGUACUGACGGUAUUCAACCAGAAAGCCACGGCUAACUACGUGCCAGCAGCCGCGGUAAUACGUAGGUGGCAAGCGUUGUCCGGAUUUAUUGGGCGUAAAGAGAAUGUAGGCGGUUUAUUAAGUUUGAAGUGAAAGCCCUCGGCUCAACCGAGGAAGUGCUUCGAAAACUGGUAAACUUGAGUGCAGAAGAGGAAAGUGGAACUCCAUGUGUAGCGGUGGAAUGCGUAGAUAUAUGGAAGAACACCAGUGGCGAAGGCGGCUUUCUGGUCUGUAACUGACGCUGAGAUUCGAAAGCAUGGGUAGCAAACAGGAUUAGAAACCCUAGUAGUCCC